rnacentral:misc_RNA from 1 species
UUUCCGUAGGUGAACCUGCGGAAGGAUCAUUAUCGUGGGGAUUCGUCCCCUCUGGAUAGACACCCUUUGUUUAUGAGUACCAAUUGUUUCCUCGGCGGGCUUGCUCGCCGUUGGACAUCCAAAACCUUUGUAGUAGCAGUAUCUUCAGUAAAAAAACAAAUAUUAAAACUUUCAACAACGGAUCUCUUGGUUCUG